rnacentral:lncRNA from 1 species
AUUCAGAGUCGGAUAAUCGAGAAAAAGACAUUCUUACUGAUUGAUUGAGCUUGGUUCGAGGUAAGUUGCUUGCCUAACCUUGUGUGGGGGAGAUCCCCUUAGGAUUUGGUACUGUUGUGAUAUAUGAGCGUCGUGUACGUGAGGUGACGAGUACGUACACAGGCUAUUUGUUGUAAAACACGAUUUAUUUUAUUGAGUAGUAACCUAUUUUUUCUUUAAUUUGAGUUAUACCGUUUAAAUGAGUAUUAGUCUAUUUUUCAUUCUUAAUUGAGCUAUUCCAAUAUGUGUAGUUAUCCUGUUUAGUCUAAUAUCGCAUGUCUAGGUACUUUAACUGCUUAUUUGAACUCUGUGAAGCAUGCCUAGUUGAUUCCUGUUUUUCCUUAUUCUUUAUCAGUAUAACUGUAGAAAUCUUGUUGUUAACUAUUGUAUUUAUCGGUUUGAGCUGUGUGUUUAGUUUUGAGACUAUGAGGCGGUUCCUCGGGAGUUCUCCCUGUACAUUUACUUUUGAGACUACGAGGUGGUUCCUCGGGAGUCUCCCUGCACAUUUACUUUUGAGACUACGAGGCGGUUCAUCGGGAGUUCUCCCUAUAUAUUUUCUUUUGAGACUACGAGGCGGUACCUCGGGAGUUCUCCCUGUAUAUUUAUUUUGGGACUACGAGACGGUAUCUCGAGAGAUCCCCUGUUGUUUACCCCUGUGUGUUGUACUGUUGCCUUGUUGUGUUUUCUUUUGUUAAAUUCUAGUCUCUUAUUAUACUGUAUAUUCUCCUGCCUUAUUUAUUAUUUACCAGUGGGCCUAACCUGACCUUAUCACUACUCGACCGAGGUUAGGCUUGGAACUUACUGGGUACCGUUGUGGUGUACUCAUGCUACUCUUCUGCACAUAUUUUGUGUACAGAUUCAGGUACUUCAUAUCAGCCCCGCUACUAGCUGAAAGUGUUUGCUGCUGUACGGCGACUUUAAGAUAUAUCUGCCGCGUCCGCAGACCCCUCUAGUCUCUCCUAUAUUAUUUACCUUCCGUAUUUCUUUUAUUAGACUUUGGUGUAUAAAGAUUUUAGUUUUCUUCUGUAGCUUGUGACUUACGAUGUUUCGAAUUUUGGGAAGACUGUGUAUUUAUAGGGUAUUGGUUAUUGUACAUGUCGAGCGACAUUGUUACUAGUUACUUAGUUAUCCACUGCUGUUAGUUGCCAAGUUUUA